CCCUCUUCUUCUUCCUUCUUCUAGUUCCUCUCCCCUCUCUCUCUAGUACUUCAUCUUCUCUUUCUCUCUCUAAAAACCCUAACUAGGGUUUGUGCUGAAAACUGGUUCUCUCUGUGUUCUUCCACAGCUUUCUUGAACUGCACCAUCACUAGUCAAGUUCUGGGAUUUUUUCCCUUUCUUGAGUUGGGUAUGGCUAAAAAUUGAUGCGGUUCACUAAAGCUGUGGAAAGAUACAGAGAGGGCCAAAGAAAAUCCAAGAUCUGAUUAUCAUUCGGCAGCAUCUGCUAUUUGCAUGAUGGACCACAAGGGCAGCCAUAUGGUAUGGCCACCAUCUUAGGUUUACAAGUGUUAAAGCCAUUGAUAUGGGAGAAAAAAAAGAGAUGGAGAAAAAUGAAGGUUAGGUAAAGUUCCUUUUUAAUGAAAACCUUGAUGAAUUACAUAUCUGAAAUUACGAGUCACAAUUUGGGCGCUUUCUUUUGAAAAGAAAUACACUUUUAAGGCCGAAUUCUAGAUUUCUUUUUUCCAUAUGUAAUGUUUCAUUUUCUAAAGGGGAGACGCUACAAUAUACACACCGAUUUGAAUAUGCAGGGUAUGUACCCCUUGAAUGACCUUGAAUUUGUAAGAUUUUGAAUACAACUUUGUGAAACAAAAGUAAAUUCAUAUAUUUUGUCUGCAAAUUCCUAGCAUUUCCACAUAUAGUCCUAACAUAGACAUAUUCAUAACAUCUGUAUUUAAUGAGCUUGUAUAUAUUGUCUUGAUGCAUGCUAUAUAAACUUGUGAACAAAUUUUAUUAACUUCUAUUGUAAAUUGUAUGAAUUUUUAUACAAAAUGUCGUGAAUUUAAAUAUGAAACGUUACGAAUUCAAAGCAAUCUAAUAAGAUGCGUGCCGUACACACUUAAAUAGAAGUGGGUAUUGUAGCGCUUUCCUUUCAUGAAAAAUACAGGUCUAAAUAUGAGGUUAAGAGGUGCAUUCAACCAAAUAAAUAGUAAUGCACAUUGGAAAAGAGAAGCCGAGUAAAUAAAAACUGUUGCUGAAAAAGUGCAAGAAAGUUUAGGGUUUUCUCCCACUGAGGUAAAGGCGACUACAAGGCUUGAAAGGUGGGACUUGAUCAACUUACAAGAAAAUGCAUUCUUGGGGGGGCCAAAUUAGGUAUCAGAUCCAUGACCCCAUAUGCCCAUGAAUUUGAGUUAAUGUGGCCAAAACUGAUUUUCCAAACAACAGUUUCUAUUGUCUUUUUAAGAAAAGAUUUCAACAAACCAGAUCCUAGAAAAUUCAUGGGACAGCUUUGCAUUCACUGGCACUGUCUGCUUGGUUGUAUAAGUAGUAGUAGUAGUAGGCUUCACUGGAUCUAACAGAGGUUUUACAGCAAUGUUGGAUCCUUUGCAUUUGAGUAUAAAAUUGUAUCAGCCCAUAUGCUCUCUCUCUACUUGUCAUCUCAUCUUUCAAGUUGACAUAUGCUUUAAGUUAAAGGCGGUAUUUAUGCUCGUCGCGUUCUUUAUAUGGAAAUCCGAGUCUUCUUGCUGAUGGGAAAAUGUAUCUUAUUUAUGCAAAUAGAGUAAUCGAGUGAUUAUUAGAUCAUGCUAGAGUGACAUCUCAAUCCUCUUGCUCAUCUGAUAAGGAAAGAUAUCUAUAUCCACCUAAUCACUACAUCCUUUUCUGCACUUUCUUAUUGGCUAGAGGCACCAUCUACACGUGCCAUGGUAGUACUGCGAACUCUUGAAUACUCCUACUUUUUUGAAAUGAAGUUACAAUAAGAUAAUUAAGAUGAUGUACAACACGUUACACAACAUGCAUACGUGACACUAUCUCAUUGCACGUAUAUCAUGUGCAAGAUGACCCUCAACAUGUCGGAUAAAUUAGUAAAUAACAUACAGGUUAAUAAACUCCACGGAGUUAACUUGGUAGUUAAGGCCUAUGACUUGAAGGUUUGCUCCUCUCGAUCUAAUGAUUAUUCAUCCUUAUCAGGGUGCCAUUCGCACGUGCCACGAACUGAUCUGGACCACUGAAUAGUCGUCCAACCUAUAUUGGCUGUUUUUUUUUCCCUCAGUGAUAAUUUUAGGAUUUCUAUAUCCUGAAAGUUGGAAGUCUCACUUUUACAAUGCUUUACUUUUGAGUGUCAAACUCUUCAAUUGCAGUGGCACUGUUGGUUUAAAGCUAAACAUUUGAGAUCAUCAAGGAUUAAACUAAUGAUGAUGUUAUUAAUUUACUAAUAUUACCUACCACUCAUCCAAGUCAAAAAGGCCUGGAUUUGUUUGUUCUGAUAUGUUUAAAGUUUUGCUUUUGGGUACUAAUUA